GAUCCUGGCUCAGGAUGAACGCUGGCGGCGUGCUUAACACAUGCAAGUCGAACGAUGAUCCCCNGCUUGCNUGGGGGAUUAGUGGCGAACGGGUGAGUAACACGUGAGUAACCUGCCCUUAACUUUGGGAUAAGCCUGGGAAACUGGGUCUAAUACCGGAUAUGACUCCUCAUCGCAUGGUGGGGGGUGGAAAGCUUUUGUGGUUUUGGAUGGACUCGCGGCCUAUCAGCUUGUUGGUGAGGUAAUGGCUCACCAAGGCGACGACGGGUAGCCGGCCUGAGAGGGUGACCGGCCACACUGGGACUGAGACACGGCCCAGACUCCUACGGGAGGCAGCAGUGGGGAAUAUUGCACAAUGGGCGGAAGCCUGAUGCAGCGACGCCGCGUGAGGGAUGACGGCCUUCGGGUUGUAAACCUCUUUCAGUAGGGAAGAAGCGAGAGUGACGGUACCUGCAGAAGAAGCGCCGGCUAACUACGUGCCAGCAGCCGCGGUAAUACGUAGGGCGCAAGCGUUAUCCGGAAUUAUUGGGCGUAAAGAGCUCGUAGGCGGUUUGUCGCGUCUGCCGUGAAAGUCCGGGGCUCAACUCCGGAUCUGCGGUGGGUACGGGCAGACUAGAGUGAUGUAGGGGAGACUGGAAUUCCUGGUGUAGCGGUGAAAUGCGCAGAUAUCAGGAGGAACACCGAUGGCGAAGGCAGGUCUCUGGGCAUUAACUGACGCUGAGGAGCGAAAGCAUGGGGAGCGAACAGGAUUAGAUACCCUGGUAGUCCAUGCCGUAAACGUUGGGCACUAGGUGUGGGGGACAUUCCACGUUUUCCGCGCCGUAGCUAACGCAUUAAGUGCCCCGCCUGGGGAGUACGGCCGCAAGGCUAAAACUCAAAGGAAUUGACGGGGGCCCGCACAAGCGGCGGAGCAUGCGGAUUAAUUCGAUGCAACGCGAAGAACCUUACCAAGGCUUGACAUGAACCGGUAAGACCUGGAAACAGGUCCCCCACUUGUGGCCGGUUUACAGGUGGUGCAUGGUUGUCGUCAGCUCGUGUCGUGAGAUGUUGGGUUAAGUCCCGCAACGAGCGCAACCCUCGUUCCAUGUUGCCAGCGCGUUAUGGCGGGGACUCAUGGGAGACUGCCGGGGUCAACUCGGAGGAAGGUGGGGACGACGUCAAAUCAUCAUGCCCCUUAUGUCUUGGGCUUCACGCAUGCUACAAUGGCCGGUACAAAGGGUUGCGAUACUGUGAGGUGGAGCUAAUCCCAAAAAGCCGGUCUCAGUUCGGAUUGGGGUCUGCAACUCGACCCCAUGAAGUCGGAGUCGCUAGUAAUCGCAGAUCAGCAACGCUGC
rnacentral:rRNA from 1 species